rnacentral:rRNA from 1 species
UACAGAGGGUGCAAGCGUUAAUCGGAAUUAUUGGGCGUAAAGAGCUCGUAGGCGGCUUGUCGCGUCGGAUGUGAAAGCCCGGGGCUUAACUCCGGGUCUGCAUUCGAUACGGGCAGGCUAGAGUUCGGUAGGGGAGAUCGGAAUUCCUGGUGUAGCGGUGAAAUGCGCAGAUAUCAGGAGGAACACCGGUGGCGAAGGCGGAUCUCUGGGCCGAUACUGACGCUGAGGAGCGAAAGCGUGGGGAGCGAACAGG